ACUGGCUCAGGAUGAACGCUGGCGGCGCGCCUAACACAUGCAAGUCGAACGGUGAAGUCCCUUCGGGGGCGGAUCAGUGGCGGACGGGUGAGUAACGCGUGAGUAACCUGCCCUUACGAGCGGAAUAACGUCCGGAAACAGACGCUAAUACCGCAUGACACGUGCUUUCGGCAUCGGAGGCACGUCAAAGAUUUAUCGCGUAAGGAUGGACUCGCGUCCCAUUAGAUAGUUGGCGGGGCAACGGCCCACCAAGUCAGCGAUGGGUAGCCGGACUGAGAGGUUGAACGGCCACAUUGGAACUGAGAGACGGUCCAGACUCCUACGGGAGGCAGCAGUGGGGAAUAUUGGGCAAUGGGCGAAAGCCUGACCCAAGCGACGCCGCGUGAGCGAAGAAGGUCUUCGGAUUGUAAAGCUCUGUUGACAGGGACGAAAAAAUGACGGUACCUGUCGAGGAAGCCACGGCUAACUACGUGCCAGCAGCUGC
rnacentral:rRNA from 1 species